ACUAAAUCUCGUUGCCUCAAAUUAGUUAAUCAAUUAAGUGUCAAACCACAAAAUGUUGGAGAUUUGGGUUUGUAUUUAUUAUCUUGGCAGGGACUUCCUCCCUAGCCCUUGGCUUCCUUUCCCUUCUCCUUGCAGCGAAGCUGGCUUUUAAAAAUGACCAGUCACUCAUUGUUUAUUUCUGGCUGAUUAGUAGAACAGUUGAAGUUACAUAAGCCUGGCGCCCAGGACUGAAGCAGCCCCAGACUGACAGCUCGGCCUGUGUUCAGGCAGCACCGUGGACCAGCAUGGCUGGCGCCUUCCCUGGGACAGAUUUAGAGGAGCACAGGCCCACACCAGCCUCCUCCCUGUGUGCGCCUGUGUUGGGGCCUGGGGUCAUCAAUGAAGCAGGAAUCUCCUUUGCUGUUGCAUCACUCUCAAGCAAAUGGCAGAGCAGUGUGGGCAGAAGAAACCCUCCAGGAGAAGAAAAGAGGGCUAUUCCAUUGUCAACCAGUCUCCAGCCCUGCUGGGGCCCAGGCUGCUCCCUGUGAAGCUGUUUCCAAAUGCUAGACGGUGGCAGGGGACUGGAGCAGCAAUAUGAGCCCCGGCUAACAGAGUCCUGGAAAAGUCUGGAACCUCCAUCUCCCCCAGGGACCAGAAUGGCCACUGGGCCCGAGGUGUCUGCAUGUACGUGGAGUCCACAGAGGGCCUUGUAGGCCUCCGCAGGCCUCACUGGCUGUCUGCCCCUCCAGGGCUCAGAACAGGGAUUGGCACCAGGCAGUGCCUCUGUAAAUACCUGCUAAAUGAAUAAACCAACAUGGGGUACGUCACACAACUGAAGAAGGAAGUAUCCAGGCAGUGAGGACGGGACCUCGGCUUUGCUUCUGAGAAUGUAGAAGCCUUACUAGAGAGGGCAGCACUCGGACUCCGCAUUCAGGAUGAGGAUGAUCCAGGAAGCUCUCCUUGCAGGGAGCUUCCCGCAGGGAGUGGAAGGGCGACCUGGAGACCUGUCUGCAGAGAGAGGGACAGCUCUGGUGGCAGGAAGCUGUGAAUCCAACAACAGCAACAGUCACGGCACUGUUUGAGUGCACUGCAGACUCUGGUUCUCAUACCCAAGGGAACCAAGGCCCACGGGCUGUGAGCAGCCUCCUGCCAUCACACAGACAAGCCGGGCUCAGGUCAAGUCCAGGUCAGUCCAGCCCAGAGUGCUGGCCCGUGUGGAGUCCCCUUGCUGGUGGAGAAGCCUGCCCCGUGGCUGGCCUCUGCUGUAUGGUGUGGUUCUCAGAGAGCCCUGGGCUCUUCCCUGGCCUGGAAGAUGGAGGGCCUUGGCCUAUGGCUUCCCCUCAGGGAUGAUCCAGGAAAGAGGUGCCAGGCAUUUUGGGGGAGGCUUGCUGGGCAUCGGGAUGAGACCAACCCUACACAGGGUGAUCUUUAGUCACAAAAAACAACCAGGCCACAAAGCAGCAGCGCUGGAAAGUCCAGGUGUAAUCUGAAGAGCCCUCUCUCAUCCUGCAGGGUCCUGGCUCCUGCAGUGUGAGCUGCGAUAGGAAGGCCACUCUGUCUGGUCAGUGGGAGCCUCCCUUCAACUCCAUGGUGUGUCCUUCUGGCCUCCUCCCAGCCCCACUAGAAGGUCUUGGUCUAUUCAACAGCUCAAAGGGAAAUGGAGGUGGGAAGAGACUCACUGGUCCUGUGCAGGUACACAGCUGGGCAGAUGGCACUGCCCGUCAGUGGUCUUAUGGGCUAUAAUCCUUCUCAGCAAACUAAGAACCAAGAAGAAGGUUCUCAUGCAUGGGCAGCUGCUAAUGAGUUCACCCAAAUUCUGUUUCCUGAAGGAGCAUGUCCCAGAAGGCAUGGGGCACACGGUGUACAGCAUAAGACUCCUCAAGGGCCAGGGAGCAUCUUGUCUAUCUUCACGUUCCCCCCUCCCCCCCCCUUGCCUAGGACGUCAUUGAGUUCAUGUUUGUAUUUGCUGCCUGAAUAAUAAAGGUUGGUUUUCCUUUAA